rnacentral:rRNA from 1 species
GACGAACGCUGGCGGCGUGCUUAACACAUGCAAGUCGAACGGAAAGGCCCUGCUUUUGUGGGGUGCUCGAGUGGCGAACGGGUGAGUAACACGUGAGUAACCUGCCCUUGACUUUGGGAUAACUUCAGGAAACUGGGGCUAAUACCGGAUAGGAGCUCCUGCUGCAUGGUGGGGGUUGGAAAGUUUCGGCGGUUGGGGAUGGACUCGCGGCUUAUCAGCUUGUUGGUGGGGUAGUGGCUUACCAAGGCUUUGACGGGUAGCCGGCCUGAGAGGGUGACCGGCCACAUUGGGACUGAGAUACGGCCCAGACUCCAACGGGAGGCAGCAGUGGGGAAUAUUGCACAAUGGGCGGAAGCCUGAUGAAGAAACGCCGCGUGCGGGAUGACGGCCUUCGGGUUGUAAACCGCUUUCGCCUGUGACGAAGCGUGAGUGACGGUAAUGGGUAAAGAAGCACCGGCUAACUACGUG